UACGUAGGGGGCAAGCGUUGUCCGGAAUCAUUGGGCGUAAAGCGCGUGUAGGCGGCCAGGUAAGUCCGCUGUGAAAGUCGGGGGCUCAACCCUCGGAUGCCGGUGGAUACUGUCGGGCUCGAGUACGGAAGAGGCGAGUGGAAUUCCUGGUGUAGCGGUGAAAUGCGCAGAUAUCAGGAGGAACACCAAUUGCGAAGGCAGCUCGCUGGGACGUUACUGACGCUGAGACGCGAAAGCGUGGGGAGCAAACAGG
rnacentral:rRNA from 1 species